rnacentral:rRNA from 1 species
GACGAACGCUGGCGGCGUGCUUAACACAUGCAAGUCGAACGGAAAGGCCCUUCUUUUGUGGGGUGCUCGAGUGGCGAACGGGUGAGUAACACGUGAGUAACCUGCCCUUGACUUUGGGAUAACUUUAGGAAACUGGGGCUAAUACCGGAUAGGACCUCCUGCUGCAUGGUGUGGGUUGGAAAGUUUCGGCGGUUGGGGAUGGACUCGCGGCUUAUCAGCUUGUUGGUGGGGUAGUGGCUUACCAAGGCUUUGACGGGUAGCCGGCCUGAGAGGGUGACCGGCCACAUUGGGACUGAGAUACGGCCCAGACUCCUACGGGAGGCAGCAGUGGGGAAUAUUGCACAAUGGGCGGAAGCCUGAUGCAGCAACGCCGCGUGCGGGAUGACGGCCUUCGGGUUGUAAACCGCUUUCGCCAGGGACGAAGCGUGAGUGACGGUAAUGGGUAAAGAAGCACCGGCUAACUACGUG